rnacentral:rRNA from 1 species
AAAUUGAAGAGUUUGAUCAUGGCUCAGAUUGAACGCUGGCGGCAGGCCUAACACAUGCAAGUCGAACGGUAACAGGAAGUAGCUUGCUGCUUCGCUGACGAGUGGCGGACGG